UUAAUUAUUGUGCUCCUUAAUAUUCAUAUAUAGAGUACAGGCCCUAUAUAUUAAGAUGCACAUUAUACACAAUAUAAAAAGAUAUAUUUCUAGCACUGAUAUUUUAAAUUAACAAUAACAACUUUGUAGAGGUCGCCUUUCACGAAACCUUACUCCUGUUAUCACGUUUCCUUUUAAUGAUAAAUUUUUCAGUAUUUUAAUUAACUCCAAGCAUGAAGUUUCUGCUGCUUAUAACUGUAAUUAUUUACGUAUUAAUUCAUAUUUCGUAUGAAGAAACUACGGAUGAAUUUUGCUCGAAACCUGCUAAAGGUGUAAAAUUUUGGAAAUGCUCCCUUAGAAAGCUACCCAGCUAUUACCGCAAAUUUUUCGAACAAUUAGCUGAUUGCGUGAUUAUCAAGAAAGGAUUCUCAAAUAGAAACAGAGCUUUAGUAUAUUUCGCGUGCACUGAUACUUCUCUAUUAGACAAGGUUGUAAAAUGUUUUGAGAGAAAACGUUCGAAAAUUAAUGGCAAACCUACUAAAGCUGAUGAAAAUAAAGCAGCAGGCGUUUUUGAUAGUUGUUUCAGAAGAGCUUUUCCAGAAGCCAAAUGAAUUCAACUCAAAUCUAUAAAAAUACAUCCAUUAAUCUAUGUAUUUUGCACAUUUGUUCAUACUCUACUUUUUUAUUAAAUAAUGGACAAUUUCAAGGAAUUGAAGAAGUGGCAUAUCUCGGGCCAUGCCGAGCCCGAGGAUGGCGUCUCGUCUUGGCCUCGUGUAAUACGGAUGCUUCCAAAAGAUGCGGAGGAGGAGUUGCAUACAUCCGACGUCAAAGGGGUGGUCGUCGUAACUCCGGACGACAGCGCCUCGUCUCUCGUCUAUUAUCUGGAGCGGCGAUAUCCCGAAGUUCCGGAAUGGACGGUGGAGACACAGUCACCCGAGACGAGACUGAACAGAAAGGAGUCCGAAUAAAUGAUGGAAGAAUCUGUCAAGCGUAAAAGGCCUUGGUGGAAAAGAUUGUUUUUCUGCUGGAAAAAAUAACAUUCUUUCUGCCGAGACCUUCUUGCACGGAUUUCGACUUUCCACCGAAUGUGAUACAGCCACCCGGAAGUGACCUUUCACCCGAAUAUUACACUUUUACCCGGAAUUAAUCAACUGGAUUUGACUUUUCAUCCCAAUUUACGGAUAGAUACCUCGACAACAUUCGAGAUUCGUUCUUCCAAUUCGGUUUAAGUACAGUACAUAGAACAACGACAGUAGCCAAAGUGACAACGAAACAUUAAGCAGUAUUCUCGUGUUUAAUAAAAGACUGUGUUUAAACGACUAUAACUGGCCAAAGCAACUUAUAAUAUUUCAACUGGUGUUCUACUAGUAAAACAUUUCACCUCGAAUAAUACACUACGGAGGAAACCAUUUCCAAGUUAAACUUUAACCAAAAACACACACUGCAGUCGAUAUAUGUCCAAAGCAGAAUUAUAAUUACUUCAACAG